rnacentral:rRNA from 1 species
GAAAAGAAACCAACAGGGAUUGCCCUAGUAACGGCGAGUGAACAGGCAAGAGCUCAGAUUUGAAAGCCUUUUUGGCAUUGUAUUCUGAAGUCAGUUUCCUGAGUAUCGGUGUUUAAGUCUUCUGGAAAGGAGCGCCAUGGAGGGUGAUAGCCCCGUACGACACCUCACUCAUUGUAGGAUUCUGACGUGGAGUCGAGUUGUUUGGGAAUGCAGCUCAAAAGGGUGGUAUGCUCCAUCUAAAGCUAAAUAUCUGUGAGAGACCGAUAGCGAACAAGUACUGUGAAGGAAAGAUGAAAAGAACUUUGAAAAGAGAGUGAAAAAGUACGUGAAAUUGUUGAAAUGGAAGGAUAUGCCGCUAACAAUGUAAAGCCCUGUUUGGGGGGAAGACAAAA